AUCCAGCUGACGAGUCCCAAAUAGAACGAUACGCACGUUCUGAAC
rfam:Schistosoma margrebowiei strain Zambia genome assembly, scaffold: SMRZ_scaffold0000116